UUAAACGGACGGAGCCGUCAGUGGCCUUCCGGAAUCAGUCGUAUGACGCGCGAUAAUGCGUUUCUCUAGAGCGAAAGUCUAGAGGGCGUGUUAGUAAAUAGUAGCGUUCAUUCGAUGCAUUUCUGGAGGGUAUGCGCCACGACCGAUGCGAAAGGCUAGUGAAUCCGGUGAAUUGAGGUGGAAACCCUUCGGGGUAUUCAGUACCAGUUCGUCGGCCUAUAGUCGCUAGACCGCAGUAGGCAUCGAGCGCAGAGUAUAUAGAACGCUGGCAAAAAUGCUCGCUCUAGCGAUGGAUAGUCGGCGGAAUGGGCCGUACCUGCUCGCAGGUUAUGCCUGUUCCUGUUCGAUCUUUGAAUUCGCUGGCGAGUUUAUAGCGUUCUGGCGUCAGUGGCGUCCGAGACGGUCAACCGUCCGACCCGUCUUGAAACACGGACCAAGGAGUCUAACGUACGCGCGAGCAAAUGAGUGGAAAACUCAUAUGCGCAAUAAAAGUAAAAGCCAUUUCUGAUGGCGCGGGGUACGAUCCCGUGGUAUUUAUUUAUCCCGGGCGCAGUACCAUCCCAUCCUGAUCGCUCGUCGGUAGGGUGGAGAUUGAGUGCAUACGUUGGGACCCGAAAGAUGGUGAACUAUGCCUGAGCAGAGCGAAGCCAGAGGAAACUCUGGUGGAGGUUCGUAGCGGUUCUGACGUGCAAAUCGAUCGUCAGACUUGGUAUA
rnacentral:rRNA from 1 species